UACGUAGGGUCCGAGCGUUGUCCGGAAUUACUGGGCGUAAAGAGCUCGUAGGUGGUUUGUCGCGUUGUUCGUGAAAACUCACAGCUUAACUGUGGGCGUGCGGGCGAUACGGGCAGACUUGAGUACUGCAGGGGAGACUGGAAUUCCUGGUGUAGCGGUGGAAUGCGCAGAUAUCAGGAGGAACACCGGUGGCGAAGGCGGGUCUCUGGGCAGUAACUGACGCUGAGGAGCGAAAGCCAGGGGAGCGAACGGG
rnacentral:rRNA from 1 species